rnacentral:rRNA from 1 species
AAUAAAAAAAUUAUUUAUUUUAUAAUUUUUAAUUUAUUAAUAAAAAUAAUUUUAAUUUAUUUAGUUUUAGUAUAAUUAAUAGAAAAAAUUUUUUUAAUAAUAGUGAAUUAGUAUUGUAAGAGAAUUUUGAAAUAUUAUUUAAUUAAUAAAAAGUAAAAUUAAUUUUUUGUACCUUGUGUAUCAGGGUUUAUUUAUUAAAAAUUAAUUAUUUAAUUUUCUCGAUUUUAAGAGAGAAAAAAUUUUAUUAUAGUUAUUAUUUUAUUAAUAUUAUAAAUAAAAUUUUAGUAAUGAAAAGUUAUUCGUUCUUAAAUAUAUCUAGUUUUUUUAGAAAUAAAUUUAAUUUAGUUAUUUUUUAAAAAUAAUUUUAUUUUUUAAAUUAUUUAAUAAAAAUAAUAAUAUUUAAAGGGAUGAGCUUUUAAAUAAAUUUUUAUAAAAAUUAAAAUAAUAUUUAAAUUGUAAGUUUAGAAAUAUUUAUCAAUAAAAUUUUGUUAUAAUUAAUUAAAUUUAUUUUAUUAUUUUUUAUUUUUUUAAAUUUUCUAUAAAAAUUAUUUAUAAAAUUAUUUUAUAAAUGUAAUAAUGAUAAAAUUAGUAAAUUUAAAUUUUAUUUAAUAUUUAUUUUGAUAAUUAUUAUUAAGGAAUUCGGCAAAAUAAUUAUUCGCCUGUUUAACAAAAACAUGUCUUUUUGAUUAUAAUUUUAAGUCUGGUCUGCCCACUGAAUAUAUAUAUUUUUAUUUUUAUUGAAGGGCCGCGGUAUUUUGACCGUGCGAAGGUAGCGUAAUCAUUAGUUUUUUUAUUAAAAGCUUGUAUGAAUGGUUGGACGAGAUAAUUACUGUCUCAGUAAUAAUUUAAUUGAAUUUAAUUUUUGAGUUAAAAAGCUUAAAUAUUUUUUAAAGACGAGAAGACCCUAUAAAUCUUGAUAAUUAAAUUUAAAAAAGAAUUUAUAGAAAUGAAAAUUAAUUUUUUAUUUUUUUUUAUUUUUAUAUUAUUGUAUUGGGGUGAUAUUAAAAUUUAAUUAACUUUUAUUUAUUAAAACUAUUUAUUUAUAAAAAAUUUGAUCCAAUAUUAUUGAUUAAAAGAUUAAGUUACUUUAGGGAUAACAGCGUAAUUUUUUUAAAGAGUUCUUAUCGAUAAAAAAGAUUGCGACCUCGAUGUUGGAUUAAAGAUUAAUUUUGGCGCAAAAGUUAAAAAUAUUAAGUCUGUUCGACUUUUAAAUCUUUACAUGAUCUGAGUUCAGACCGGCGUAAGCCAGGUCGGUUUCUAUCUUAAAAUAUAUAAAUAAAUUUUAGUACGAAAGGACCAAAUUUUAAAUAAAUUAUUUAUUUUUUGAAUAUUAUUAUUA